UACGGAGGGUGCAAGCGUUGUUCGGGAUCACUGGGCGUAAAGGGCGUGUAGGCGGUCCGCUAAGUCUGAUGUGAAAGCCCGAGGCUUACCCUCGGAAGUGCAUUGGAGACUGGCGGACUGGAGUCCCGGAGAGGAGGGUGGAAUUCCUGGUGUAGCGGUGAAAUGCGUAGAUAUCAGGAGGAACACCGGUGGCGAAGGCGGCCCUCUGGACGGUGACUGACGCUGAGACGCGAAAGCGUGGGGAGCAAACAGG
rnacentral:rRNA from 1 species